AGUUGUAAUUUGGAGAGGCAGUUUUGGGCACCGCGGCGGUGUAAAUUUCUUGGAACAGAAUGUCAGAGAGGGUGAGAAUCCCGUCUUGGACCGCCGUAGGACCCGUGUAAAACUCCUUCGACGAGUCGACUUGUUUGGGAAUGCAGGUCAAAAUGGGUGGUAAAUUUCAUCUAAAGCUAAAUAUUGGCCAGAGACCGAUAGCGCACAAGUAGAGUGAUCGAAAGAUGAAAAGCACUUUGAAAAGAGAGUUAAACAGUAUGUGAAAUUGUUGAAAGGGAAGCGCUGGCAACCAGACUCGCGCGCGGGGUUCCCCCUUGCUUCUGCUCGGGUCACUUCCCCGCGUCCGGGCCAUCAUCAGUUUUGGGGGCCGGUUAAAGGUCUCGGGAAAGUAUCCCUCCGGGGGAGGACUUAUAGCCCGGGGCGUCAUGCGGCCUCCCGGGACUGAGGAACGCGCUUCGGCGAGGAUGAUGGCGUAAUGGUUGUCAGCGACCCGUC
rnacentral:rRNA from 1 species